UACUUUCUGGGACCGUUGUCAAUUUGUUCCCAUUCAUUACCAAUUCCCACGUGAACCAUUUCUCCUUCCUUACUUUGUCAAUUCCCACGUCAGGUGCAGAUCAAUAAUCACCCCCCUCCACAGGGUGGCCUCAACAUUCCCUUUUCUCUUUAGCUCUGAAACCCGGUGGUUUCCCUUCGGAAAUAAAAAGCUAAUCCGAUAUACUUGGGCUCCCGUGGAUUUCGUUAUAUUUCAGACUUCUAUUUGGAUUGGGUAUCUGCUGAUUUCAGAGUAAAAAUGGGUCACAAAAGCUUUCAGCUUUUUUGCUGCCUCGUUUUCUUGCUCUUGCCAUUUUGCUUGUUCUUCUUUUUGUGGAUCGAAAGCUCGCCACUUUGCUUGUGCUUCCUUUUAUCAAGAGUCACAUGCAACGGCAUCUCUUCGAUUGGUUGUUGGACAAACCAUUUUGCAGCCCUGAGUUAGUUGAAGACAAUUGUUGAUUCAUGGCUCCAAAGGUGAAAGUUGUACUCUGAAAUUUGUAGUAACGCACUCAUAAUAUCUGCCAUAUUUUGAAUGAGUUUUGAUGUAUUCGUGUGCAAUUAUCACUCUGGUAUUUCUGUUUCCACAAAGAGAUUUUACUUGACUGGCCUUGACAGUGUCAUUUUGACACCCUUUUUGUGUUCCCAUUCAUGUUGCGCCUUCGAUACUUGCCAUAUUUUCUCUUUAACAUUUGUACAGUGU